GAGAAGUCUGACGGAGCACGCCGCGUGAGUGAAGAAGGCCUUCGGGUCGUAAAACUCUGUUGCCGGGGAAGAACAAGUGCCGUUCGAACAGGGCGGCGCCUUGACGGUACCCGGCCAGAAAGCCACGGCUAACUACGUGCCAGCAGCCGCGGUAAUACGUAGGUGGCAAGCGUUGUCCGGAAUUAUUGGGCGUAAAGCGCGCGCAGGCGGCUUCUUAAGUCUGAUGUGAAAUCUUGCGGCUCAACCGCAAGCGGUCAUUGGAAACUGGGAGGCUUGAGUGCAGAAGAGGAGAGUGGAAUUCCACGUGUAGCGGUGAAAUGCGUAGAGAUGUGGAGGAACACCAGUGGCGAAGGCGGCUCUCUGGUCUGUAACUGACGCUGAGGCGCGAAAGCGUGGGGAGCAAACAGGAUUAGAUACC
rnacentral:rRNA from 1 species